rnacentral:rRNA from 1 species
AGGGCGUACGGCGAAUGCCUUGCCACUCGAAACUGAAGAAGGACGCGCCAAACUGCGAAAAGCUCCGUGAAGCUGUAAGGAAGCGAAGAAGCGGAGGUGUCCGAAUGGGGGAACCCGGCAGCAGACAUGAGCUGUCAUCUGCAGGUGAAUACAUGGCCUGCAAGAGAGGUACCCGGCGAACUGAAACAUCUAAGUAGCCGGAGGAAAAGAAAACAACAGUGAUUCCCUGAGUAGCGGCGAGCGAAAGGGGAGAAGCCCAAACCGGUUGAAGGACCGGGGUUGAAGGACCAUGACAUGGCAAGAACGAGGAUAGGAGAACGGGAUCGAAAGCCCGGCCGAAGAAGGUGAAAGCCCUGUAACCGAAAUCCGAGUAAAGCCUAAUGGGAUCCUGAGUACGGCGAGACACGAGAAAUCUUGUCGGAAGCAGGCGGGACCAUCCGCCAAGGCUAAAUAUAAACGAGUGAGCGAUAGUGAACCAGUACCGUGAGGGAAAGGUGAAAAGAACCGCGGGAGCGGAGUGAAAGAGAACCUGAAACCGUAUGCCUACAAGAAGUCAGAGCCCGUUAAGGGGUGAUGGCGUGCCUUUUGUAGAAUGAACCGGCGAGUUGCGACAGACUGCGAGGUUAAGGAGGAAAGACCGGAGCCGAAGCGAAAGCGAGUCUUAAGAGGGCGAAAGUAGGAUGUUGCAGACCCGAAACCGGGUGAUCUAGCCAUGAGCAGGUUGAAGUUGAGGUGAAACUCAAUGGAGGACCGAACCGACUACCGUUGAAAAGUUAGCGGAUGACUUGUGGCUAGGGGAGAAAUUCCAAUCGAACCCGGAGAUAGCUGGUUCUCCCCGAAAUAGCUUUAGGGCUAGCGUCGGAAAGAACCUUAGUGAAGGUAGAGCACUGAAUGUGUGAUGGCCCCAUCCCGGGGUACUGAAUACAAUCAAACUGCGAAUGUCAUUAAGGAUGUCCGGCAGUCAGACUGUGAGUGAUAAGGUCCAUGGUCAAGAGGGAAACAGCCCAGACCGCCAGUUAAGGUCCCAAAAUACAGGCUAAGUGGAAAAGGAUGUGGGGAUGCCCAGACAACUAGGAGGUUGGCUCAGAAGCAGCCAUCCUUUAAAGAGUGCGUAACAGCUCACUAGUCGAGUGACCCUGCGCCGAAAAUGUACCGGGGCUAAGCCUGAUACCGAAACUGCGGAUUGUAGGAAACUAUAGUGGUAGGGGAGCGUUGUAUACGAGCAGAAGCCGUACCGUGAGGAGCGGUGGAUUGUAUAGAAGUGAGAAUGCCGGUGUGAGUAGCGAGAUGUAGGUGAGAAUCCUACACACCGAAAGCCCAAGGAUUCCAGGGGAAGGUUCGUCCGCCCUGGGUAAGUCGGGACCUAACGCGAGGCCGAAAGGCGUAGUGGAUGGAAAGCAGGCGAAAGAUUCCUGCACCCGUAUAUGGAGCGAAGGAGUGACGGAGACGGAUAGUGUGACCCUCUUAAUGGAUUGAGGGCGAAGCGAAGCGGCUGGUUACCAGGCAAAUCCGGUAACCAAAAGGCUAGAGCGUGACAGGUAAGCGAAAUCUUCGGAAAGUAGCGAAGCACAUGAUGACGGCUUCCAGGAAAAGCUUCUGGCAAUGCAUAUGCGGCCCGUACCAAAACCGACACAGGUGGGCAGGGAGAGAAUCCCGAGGUGAGCGAGAGAACUGUUGCCAAGGAACUCGGCAAAAUGACUCCGUAAGUUAGCGAGAAGGAGUGCUUAAGCAAUUAAGCCGCAGUGAAGAGGCCCAAGCGACUGUUUAACUAAAACACAGCUCUCUGCGAAGUCGCAAGACGAAGUAUAGGGGGUGACACCUGCCCGGUGCUGGAAGGUUAAGAGGAUCUGUUAAGAGCGAUCUGAAGCAGUGAUCCGAAGCCCCAGUGAACGGCGGCCGUAACUAUAACGGUCCUAAGGUAGCGAAAUUCCUUGUCAGGUAAGUUCUGACCCGCACGAAAGGUGUAACGAUUUGGGCGCUGUCUCGGCAGCAGACUCGGUGAAAUCUUAGUACCUGUGAAAAUGCAGGUUACCCGCAACUAGACGGAAAGACCCCAUGGAGCUUUACUGCAGCCUGAUAUUGAAUUCUGGUCAUACAUGUACAGGAUAGGUGGGAGACAAAGAGACGUGCACGCCAGUGUACGAGGAGUCGCCGUUGGGAUACCACUCUUGUGUGACCGGGGUUCUAACCUGGUAUCGAGAACAGGUACGGGGAGAGUGUCAGGUGGGCAGUUUGACUGGGGCGGUCGCCUCCCAAAGAGUAACGGAGGCGCCCAAAGGUUCCCUCAGCGCGGCCGGAAAUCGCGCGAAGAGUGUAAAGGCAGAAGGGAGCUUGACUGAGAGCCAAACACGGCGAUCAGGUACGAAAGUAGGGCUUAGUGAUCCGGUGGCAUCCAAGUGGAAGGGCCAUCGCUCAACGGAUAAAAGCUACCCUGGGGAUAACAGGCUAAUCUCUCCCAAGAGUCCAUAUCGACGGGGAGGUUUGGCACCUCGAUGUCGGCUCAUCACAUCCUGGGGCUGAAGUCGGUCCCAAGGGUUGGGCUGUUCGCCCAUUAAAGUGGUACGUGAGCUGGGUUCAGAACGUCGUGAGACAGUUCGGUCCCUAUCCAUCGCGGGCGCAAGAGAUUUGAAGGGGGCUGCUCCUAGUACGAGAGGACCGGAGUGGACGAACCAAUGGUGUACCAAUUAUCUCGCCAGAGGUAUAGUUGGGUAGCUACGUUCGGAAAGGAUAAACGCUGAAAGCAUCUAAGCGUGAAACCAGCCUUAAGAUGAGAUCUCUCAUAGAGUAAUCUAGUAAGACACCUUGG